rnacentral:SRP_RNA from 1 species
GCUGGGUAUUGUAGUGUACGCCUGUAAUCUCAGCUACCAAAAUGGUUGAGGCUGAUGGAUCUCUUGAAUUUUGAAGUUCUGAAUGGCAGUGGACUAAACUGAUUAGGUGUCCAUUCUAAGUUCAACAUCAAUAUGGGUGAGCUACCAGGAGUGAGGGGGCCAUAGGUUGCCUAAGGAGGGGCAAACAGGCCCAGGUUGGAAAUACAGGAUGUCAAAGUUCCGUUUCCAAUUGAUCAGUAGUGGGAUUGGGCUCCUGAAUAGCGCCUGAAUUUUCAGGCUGGGUAAAAUAGAGAGAUUUAGUCACAC